rnacentral:tRNA from 1 species
AUGCUGGGAGUAUAAUUAGUACAACUGCCUUCCAAGCAGGAGGUCCAAAUUAGGUCAGCAUA